rnacentral:misc_RNA from 1 species
GUGAAUCAUCAAAUUUUUGAACGCAAAUUGCACUCUCCUCGGAGAGUAUGCCUGUUUGAGGGUCAGCCUAUAAAAAAUCGACAUCGUUGCUGUUUCGCGGUGGCGUUCGUCGGAAAUUGGGUUAUCUUAAAUCCUUUUGGGUUUUAGGCGACUUAAAAUUUUCUUUUUGGCUUCAUUAACGCUUCUAUGAUUUAUUUUUUUACACGUUUAAGGAAUCGAUUUUUAUUAGACGUUACUAACAUAU